rnacentral:rRNA from 1 species
GACUAACGCUGGCGGCGUGCUUAACACAUGCAAGUUGAACGGGGUGCUGCGAGUAGCAAUACAAGCAGUACUUAGUAGCGGACGGGUGAGUAACGCGUGAGCAACCUACCUUUGUGAGGGGGACAACAGCUGGAAACGGCUGCUAAUACCGCAUAAGGCCACGACCUCGAUUGAGGUUGAGGUAAAAGAUUUAUCGCACAAAGAUGGGCUCGCGUCCCAUUAGCUAGUUGGCGGGGUAACGGCCCACCAAGGCAACGAUGGGUAGCCGACCUGAGAGGGUGAUCGGCCACACUGGAACUGAGACACGGUCCAGACUCCUACGGGAGGCUG